GAGAGAUUAUAAAUCUUAAUAUGGAAUAAACAAAACCAUGCAUGGCUUGUAGCAUAGAUGAUAUAUGGGUAGGGUCUAAAAGCAAAGAAACUGCUACUGCUUCUUUUAAAGAUUCUUCUAGGACAUCCUUCACUCCUGCUCUCCCCUGAUCAUUAUCUUCUUUAGCAGAUGAAAACUAGCUACCAUGUUCUAUAGCUAAAGGAUUGUGUAUGGUACAGGAAACAACAUGGUGAAGAUGAU
rnacentral:misc_RNA from 1 species